GACGAACGCUGGCGGCGUGCCUAAUACAUGCAAGUCGAACGCAGUGGGGACGGGUGCGUAACACGUGGGUAACCUCCCAUCAGAGGGGAUAACACUUGGAUACAGGUGCUAAGCCGAUACUGACGGAUGGACCCGCGGUGCAUUACCUAGUUGGUGAGGUAACGGCUUACCAAGGCGACGAUGCAUAGCCGGUCUGAGAGGGUGAUACGCCACACGGGGACUGAGACACGGUCCAGACUCCUACGGGAGGCAGCAGUGGGGAAUCUUCGGCAAUGGACGAAAGUCUGACCGAGCAACGCCGCGUGAGUGAAGAAGGUUUUCGGAUCGUAAAACUCUGUUAUUAGAGAAGCGGUAUCUAACCAGAAAGCCACGGCUAACUACGUGCCAGCAGCCGCGGUAAUAC
rnacentral:rRNA from 1 species